GGGGUUGUGGCUCAGUGGUAGAGCACUUUCCUAGCAUGCAUGAGGCAGUGAGUUCAAUCCUCAACACCA
rnacentral:tRNA from 1 species